rnacentral:rRNA from 1 species
UCGCUUACAGAUGGGCCCGCGGUGCAUUAGCUAGUUGGUAGGGUAAUGGCCUACCAAGGCAACGAUGCAUAGCCGACCUGAGAGGGUGAUCGGCCACACUGGGACUGAGACACGGCCCAGACUCCUACGGGAGGCAGCAGUAGGGAAUCUUCCGCAAUGGACGAAAGUCUGACGGAGCAACGCCGCGUGUAUGAAGAAGGUUUUCGGAUCGUAAAGUACUGUUGUUAGAGAAGAACAAGGAUAAGAGUAACUGCUUGUCCCUUGACGGUAUCUAACCAGAAAGCCACGGCUAACUACGUGCCAGCA